rnacentral:lncRNA from 1 species
CGCACCUCUCUCUCUCUCUCUCUCUCUCCCGACCUCAGCUCCUCUCUCUAUCGAUUCGUCUCUCCCGACCUUAGUCGCUGACAGCGUCGGCAUCGCUUCAUCUAUCUCACUCUCUCAUCUGGUAUCAUCUCUUCUCUCGAUCUCAUGUCUCUGUCUGUCAACCUCAUCCUCUCUCUCCCUCUCUGGAGUCGACCUAACCCAGAUCACCCCUCAGUAACCUAACCCUCUCAGAGUCUCUCUUUCGACUCGUCUCUAUCGCGCUCGCUUUCUCUCACUCUUAGUCACUUCUGUAAGUCACUUAGAGUCCAGAGACUUGUUCUCCCUCUCCAAACCUAACCAAACAUCAUCCACUUUCAUUGGUUUUUGGAGAGAAUCCUUGCAAAUUGUGGAGGGCUCUGGUUCAUUGUAAGGUAAAUUUGUAUGUAUUUGGUUUGAAUUCGUAGUUGUUUUCAUGUUCCCCAAUUUAGUAGAUUAUUAGGGUUUCGACAUUUUUGUAUUCUGUUGAAAUUAAAUCUAAUUUUUCUUAAUUUUGCAGUUGUUAUGCAUAGUCUCUGCGGGUUUCAAUUAAUGGGCGAAAUUGAAGGUAUAAAUGUUCCUCUGUCUCAAUCUCUGUUUGUUGCUUGCUUCUUCUUGUUUCAAGCUUUGGUUUUGUUUGGUCCUACUGGGUUAGGAUCUGAUAAGAUGAUAUGAAUGAUAACUUUUCUCUGCUUUAAUGUCUGCGUGCUUGAAGAUAGGAUUUGUAUCUUAAAUAUUUCUUUUUCCCUAUGGUAUGUAAUUAAUUACAUUUUUGUCACCCAUGUUCUCACGAGGGAAAUAUUUGCCUUCUGUUAUUCUCUUGGAUGUUUUACAUCUGCAGUGCAGUUCUUGUAGCAAUAAUCAUGUAGGUACAGGGUAGAUAGAAUUGUAAAUUUUAUGUAGCUACAGGAUAGAUGUGCGACAUAUAAUUAACAGCCUCAGUUACUAGUUUGUAACAUUUUGAUGAACAUGGAGGAAUUAGAUGCUUCCAGAUUUGUAGUGAUAAGGCAUUACCUUUCUUCUUUUCAUCAUAGGUACUUAAAAUUCAUUACCAUGGCCUCCCUUUUUUUAGUUUGUUACGUUAGGGUGUGGGUCUCCAAUUGGCGGAAGGUUUAAGAUUGACAUCAACUGUCAAGAAUCAUUGUACAUUUAAGAUUACAAAUUUCCAUGUAGAAUUCGAAAGCCAAGAGUUAAAGUUUUGAGAAUUUGAUAAUAGAGAAGUAUAAAUUGUGUAGUUAGAUUUGGUUUAGUUCCGUCGUUUAAUAUAAUUUGAUCACCCAAAUGCUGCUGUCAUUUACUUCAAGAGGCCAAGAAAUGGUACUGUCAUUUACAUUGAAUCCAAUGUAGACCAUGAAGUAUGUAGCCAUUGGUUUUGUUGGAACUUGAUAGUAUUGCCGAAAUAUUGAAGGAGGAUUAUCCCUCUCUCUUUUAGCUCUCGGCUGGUUUCAUUUGGAAGAGGAGGAUGGCAUAUUAUUCUUCCUCUCUCUUCUACAAUGAAGUAUUAAUUUUAACACGUUUUCCAUAUUUAUCAUUGAGCAUUUAAAUGUCAUUUUGGUUAAAGUACUUUGCUUCAAAGCUCAAAGACAAAGCAUUUGUGCUCUUAUUUCAAUUUUUAUUCAUGCAUUUGUUUGGUCAAGAAUGAUUAUAACAUGCUAUUGUUGGCUCUCUUGCUAUUAUUAUGUUUCUAUUUUAACCUCCAAGUGGAUGUAUUAAUAUGUUCCACUGUAAUAGUUAUGAUUUCAUAUUAAUUUUGAAGCUAAUAAAAUUGGCUCUGAGGAAAAGAGAUUGUUUGGAGUCGUAUAUUGUGCAACAAUUGAGUGCAAAUUUUCUCUGCACUAAUUUCAGCCAAAAAGAGCAGCUAAUUAUAUUUGGUAAUGUAUAUGUGCACGAUAUGAGAUGCCAUUGGUUGAGGAUAUGUCAUUUAUUUUGUUUUUUCCUGAUAUUUUCAUUUUUUUUUUCUCCAAGUCCAUUUUGAUAGAUGUACACACAUGUCCAGGAAACUUAAACAUCAUAGUUAAGCUUUAAUGUCAUCAUAAAAUUAAUGCAUCUCUUUUGGUUGCCUAAGUACCCUAAACUUGAAGAGUUUAUGAUUACUAGCUGGUUAUCUAUUGUGGUAGAUUCUCUCCCUUUCCUCUCUCUAAUGCCAAUGCUCUUAUUUGGCAGAUAAUGUGAUUUAAGGAGGCUCAAAAAAGGCAGACGUAGGCUCAUAAAGGGUGUUUUAUUUGGAGCUUCCAAGUCAUUGAUGUUAGAUACGUUCAAUUUUAAGUACAAGUUUUUUUAUUCAAUUAUUGUAUCUAAUCACUAUAUUAAGUGGAAAUGAAAUUUCAGUUUGUUAUUUAAUAUAUAUAUUUUGAAAAGGUCUGAAAUACCAUACUAUAUUAAGUGGAAAUGAAAUUUCAGUGUGUAAUUUUUUUUUUUUUUAUAAUUUAAACAAUUGGCAUUGAGCACGG